rnacentral:lncRNA from 1 species
AAAAUUCCUGAUUUGAAGUUCUUUCUAUUUUAGGCUGUAGAUAUGGAGCUUCUUCUUCGUUGACUUAAAAAAAUCACCUUCCGCAGCAGUAGCACCGAUGAUGUUGGUAAUAUUGAAGUUUGAAGAUAGAAGUGGAAGAGAUCAAACAGUUGCAAGGUAAUUAUAUGACAUAAUUUUAUAUAAUAUAUAAAUAAUAGAGAAAAAAAUGUAAGUAAAAUAUCUUUAUUGGUUAUGUUUUGAAAUUAUGUAAGUAAAAGGAAAAGAAUAUACAGACUUAUAAACCCCUCCUAUUGCUUUUUUGGUUUCUUUUAGUGCUAAUGAUGUUGCACUCUUCCACAGGUUUAAAUAACCAAGAGAACUUUUUAUUUUAUUUUUUCUUGGCAGUUUUUGGUGUUCUACUUUUAAUGUACUACGAGAAUACAGGUCAGAAUUAUGAGAAACAGGUAACCGAUGUGUCAUUUACUUUUUUACCCUUCAUGCUUUUGAGUCUUUUUUGGUUUUGGUCCAAAAAAUUGUCUCUUUCCCUUUACUAUUUCAUGUAAUUAACCUCAUUGACGUGGCUUGCACCUGCACACAUGGCCUUUUUGGUCUUUUCCUUCUUUAUAAUAAAAAUUACAUGUGUAAGGCACAUGAAAGGGGUAAAUAGACAAAAAAAAUAUUAUGAAACAGUUAAAUAGGGACCAAAAAAGGAAAAAAAAUUGGUUUCUUCUAUAAAUCAUGUUUCUUAAAGUUGUUAUGCUAAUAGAGCAGGAGUCUAUGUUUUCUUCUAUUCUAAUUAAAGAUUUAUGAGGCUAUGAAGAUUUCAGGUACUCAUAUAUGAUGUUGCACUCUUCCAUGGAGAACCAAUGAUCAUUUUAUGACUUUGUAUGGUGAAAUAAUGAAGUGGAAGGCCAUGUAUUAUCCCGUAUAUUUUUUAGUGUUUAAAAUAAAAAAAAACUGGUGAACCUAUAAUACUCGGUAAAAUGGUGUUUUUACACUAAAAAAAGAAUAAUGGUCUUUUUGUACAUUUUUAAAACGUUGUUAUCUUUUUAAGUCGUUCUCCGUAAUUCCAAUAGGGUUCCACCUAAAAUGAAGAAACAUUGUUUACAAUAUUCCUACUAAAAGUAACAUUCAGAAAAGUAACAUUCAGAAAUUCAAACUUGAAACCAUGGUUAUUUAAUUCUAAUAUUCAUACUCUAGAGCUUUAACAAAUAAAUUAGAGUUGUUCAUUUGCAAUCAAACGAAAGAUGAAACAAAAUAUAUUUGUUAAUUCCUUUUUUCUGUUCCAUGUAUCAAUUCAAGUAGAAAACAACCAAAUACAAAUUUUUUGUCAAAAGACCUAAAAUUAACUUUAUUGCUUUACAGCUGGUUAAUCAUGAGUAUUAAAUUGACUUUAGGCUUGAUAACUAUACAAAAAAUAAAAGAAACUUAAUCACGUUUUUUUAGAUGUAUUUUUUUAUCUUCUGUUUUAAACCUUAAUACAAAAAUAAAUAACUAAAUGAUAAGCCUUAUAACUUAAAUUAGAUAACAAAAAAUUUAAAAAUAUAAAUUAGAUGAAAAAAAAACAAAUAAAUAACGAUUCAACCCUUAUCCCUAAAACCAACAAUUCAAUUUAUUAUCCCUAAAAUCAAAAAUUCUAUUUAUAAAAAAAAAAAGAUUAUCGUAAUAGCAAUGCCCAUGCUUCACUCACUGUUUCCUCUUUCCCUCACGCAAUCUUCCAAGUACGAUAGAACCAGUAAGCCUUAUCCCUCUUUUCCUCACGCAAUCUUCUAGGUACGGUUCUCUUCGAUCUCGAUUUGGAGAUUUUGUGAUUUUUCCACCAGCCACUCCUUAUUACCAGAUAAAACACUUCCUGCGAGUUCAUUUUUUCCACAUAUCGGCUUCCUGUCUUCCAG